rnacentral:rRNA from 1 species
AACGAACGCUGGCGGCAGGCCUAACACAUGCAAGUCGAACGCUCGUAGCAAUACGAGAGUGGCAGACGGGUGAGUAACACGUGGGAACCUUCCCUUCGGUCGGGAAUAGCUCAGGGAAACUUGAGGUAAUACCGGAUACGCCCUUACGGGGAAAGAUUUAUCGCCGAAGGAUGGGCCCGCGUCGGAUUAGCUAGUUGGUGAGGUAACGGCUCACCAAGGCGACGAUCCGUAGCUGGUCUGAGAGGAUGAUCAGCCACACUGGGACUGAGACACGGCCCAGACUCCUACGGGAGGCAGCAGUGGGGAAUAUUGGACAAUGGGCGCAAGCCUGAUCCAGCCAUGCCGCGUGAGUGACGAAGGCCUUAGGGUUGUAAAGCUCUUUUGGUCGGGGAAGAUAAUGACGGUACCGCAGAAUAAGCUCGGCUAACUUCGUGCCAGCAGCCGCA